GGCAGUGUGGUGUAGUGGUUUGAGUGUUGGACUAUGACUCUGGAGGCCAGGGUUUGAUUCACUGCUUUGCCA